rnacentral:tRNA from 1 species
GGAGAGGUGGCAGAGUGGUCGAUUGCACCGCACUCGAAAUGCGGCAUACGCGCAAGCGUAUCGGGGGUUCAAAUCCCUCCCUCUCCGCCA